UAGGGAAUUUUCGUCAAUGGGCGCAAGCCUGAACGAGCAAUGCCGCGUGAACGAGGAAGGUCUUCGGAUCGUAAAGUUCUGUUGAAGGGGUAAAAGAGCGGAGAGAGGAAAUGCUUUCUGAUUGAUAUUACCCUUCGAGGAAGUCACGGCUAACUACGUGCC
rnacentral:rRNA from 1 species